rnacentral:rRNA from 1 species
UGGGGAAUAUUGGACGAUGGGCGAAAGCCUGAUCCAGCAACGCCGCGUGAGGGAUGACGGCCUUCGGGUUGUAAACCUACUUUCAGCAGGGACGAAGCGAAAGUGACGGUACCUGCAGAAGAAGGACCGGCCAACUACGUGCCAGCAGCCGCGGUAAUACGUAGGGUCCGAGCGUUGUCCGGAAUUAUUGGGCGUAAAGGGCUCGUAGGCGGUUUGUCGCGUCGGGAGUGAAAACUCAGGGCUCAACCCUGAGUGUGCUUACGAUACGGGCAAACUAGAGGUAUGCAGGGGAGAACGGAAUUCCUGGUGUAGCGGUGGAAUGCGCAGAUAUCAGGAGGAACACCGGUGGCGAAGGCGGUUCUCUGGGCAUUACCUGACGCUGAGGAGCGAAAGCAUGGGGAGCGAACAGGAUUAGAUACCCUGGUAGUCCAUGCCGUAAACGUUGGGCGCUAGGUGUGGGGACCUU